AUUGAACGCUGGCGGCAUGCUUUACACAUGCCAGUCGAACGGUAACAGGCCGCAAGGUGCUGACGAGUGGCGAACGGGUGAGUAAUGCAUCGGAACGUGCCCAGUCGUGGGGGAUAACUACUCGAAAGAGUAGCUAAUACCGCAUACGAUCUAUGGAUGAAAGCGGGGGACCGUAAGGCCUCGCGCGAUUGGAGCGGCCGAUGUCAGAUUAGGUAGUUGGUGGGGUAAAGGCUCACCAAGCCAACGAUCUGUAGCUGGUCUGAGAGGACGACGAGCCACACUGGGACUGAGACACGGCCCAGACUCCUACGGGAGGCAGCAGUGGGGAAUUUUGGACAAUGGGCGCAAGCCUGAUCCAGCAAUGCCGCGUGCAGGAAGAAGGCCUUCGGGUUGUAAACUGCUUUUGUACGGAACGAAACGGCUCUGGUUAAUACCCGGGGCUAAUGACGGUACCGUAAGAAUAAGCACCGGCUAACUACGUG
rnacentral:rRNA from 1 species